GAAAUCCUACUUGCCUUCAAUCAUAACUAGCAACUGACUUCUUCAUAGGAAACAAGCUUUCUUCUACCGAAGGCCGGUCACCAAAUUCCAUUUGCAAUGCAUGCCUGGAGGCUUCAAGAAAAGCUGAGAAAGCCUUGGGUGAUCCAGAAUUGUUUGGUGUCUACAAAAGUCAGAGGCAUAUAUCCAUCAAACAACGCUGUCUUUGCAAGAUCUUUUCCAUGAAGAAAAUCUCUGCAACAGCACAGGAUUAUGUUUGGACGAGUCCCUGCUUUGUCGCAUUUCAUUAAACAAGUUUUCUUCUGAGAUGAAGAUAAUGGAGACUCUUAUUGAGAACUGCAAAGAAGCAGAUGAGAAUGAAGAGCAAAAACCCAGUGACCGGUGCCGUCUGAUGAAUCUCUGUGAUGAGGGGAUAUCUCUGUGAAAUGCCUGUCCGGUUAGCUAAGUGGUAGCUU